rnacentral:rRNA from 1 species
AUUGAACGCUGGCGGCAGGCUUAACACAUGCAAGUCGAACGAGUGGCGGACGGGUGAGUAAUGCUUGGGAAUCUGGCUGAUGGAGGGGGAUAACUACUGGAAACUGUCGCUAAUACCGCAUACCAUCGGAUGAGCCCAAGUGGGAUUAGGUAGUUGGUGGGGUAAUGGCCUACCAAGCCGACGAUCCCUAGCUGGUCUGAGAGGAUGACCAGCCACACAGGGACUGAGACACGGCCCGGACUCCUACGGGAGGCAGCAGUGGGGAAUAUUGCGCAAUGGGGGCAACCCUGAUGCAGCCAUGCCGCGUGUAUGAAGAAGGCCUUCGGGUUGUAAAGUACUUUCGGCGACGAGGCGUUAACCACAGAAGAAGCACCGGCUAACUCCGUGCCAGCAGCCGCGGUAAUAC